rnacentral:misc_RNA from 1 species
AACGCACAUUGCGCCCCCUGGUAUUCCGGGGGGCAUGCCUGUCCGAGCGUCAUUGCUGCCCAUCAAGCGCGGCUUGUGUGUUGGGCCGCCGUCCCCCCCCCGCGGGGGAGGGACGGGCCCGAAAGGCAGCGGCGGCACCGCGUCCGGUCCUCGAGCGUAUGGGGCUCUGUCACCCGCUCUGGAGGCCCGGCCGGCGCCCGUCGACCCCCAACCUUCUUUCUAACCAGGUUGACCUCGGAUCAGGUAGGGAUACCCGCUGAACUUAA